CCCCCCUUAUAAAAAGUGUAGAAUGAACUCAUGUAUAUGCGUUAACCCGCAAUCAAUACAACUUUCAACAACGGAUCUCUUGGCUCUCGCAUCGAUGAAGAACGCAGCGAAAUGCGAUACGUAAUGUGAAUUGCAGAAUUCAGUGAAUCAUCGAAUCUUUGAACGCACCUUGCGCCCCUUGGUAUUCCGAGGGGCACACCCGUUUGAGUGUCGUGAAAACCUCAACCUCCUUGGUUUCUUCUUGGAGACCAAAGCAGGUUUGGACUUUGGAGGCCUUUGCUGGCAAUGCUCAGCUCCUCUUAAAUGAAUUAGCAGGGUCCUCUUUGCCGAUCCUUGACGUGUGAUAAGAUGUUU
rnacentral:sRNA from 1 species